ACUAUAGUUUCAAUAAGAAAUAAUGGGAGCAUGAACUUUGCAGAAAAGAUAAAAAUGGAAUGAAGACAGAACUCUGUGAGAGAAAGAACAUAGUAACUAUUCUAAUGAUGUUGGGAUCCUCAGUCUUCCAGAGGAUGGCAAUGGGAUUUGCUAAUACAGGAUGGGAGAGAGAAUGAUGUGUGAGUGUCUGUGAUGAAGAUGUCACACUUACAGCAGAAACUGAGAAACAGUGGAUAACUUCUGAAAUCUUUGGGUAUAAUCAUCUAUCUUGUGUGAUCUAAUAAUUUAAGAAAGAAGUGAUUAUGCUGUUGAAAUCGUGAAGAUUUUACAGGUCUGACUCAGCUCAGAUUCCAAGAUCUGCAGUGGGAUAAAUAGUUUAGUCUUUUUCAUCACUCAUUCUGAUACUUUCCUUCUUCCUCCAUUCACUGCUUCUAACUCAUCUGGGAUUGGAGAGUGUGAAGAAAAGAUGAAACAGACUGCCUCCCAGAUUCACUGCCAGCAUCAGCAUGCUUGACUAGGAGAGUCAGGAGGGCCCUGCCAAGUCUGAUGCACUAUCUCUACCAUGACACCCUGAGGAGGAACUUGGAUUUCAAAUUAGUGAGCAGUCGGUACAAUGUAUUUCACUAUGCCAUGUUCAACAGAAAGGAAUACGAGCUUGAAAUACAUUCACAGAGUCUGUCAUCUUUUCCUAUCUCUCCAACAAAGAGAAGAGCUUUCUUUCUAGUUUGGACUGCCAAUGUCUUCCCUUCCACCUCGGGACUCAUUCUCUUGCAAUUUGGCACUGCCAACCCAGCUGGACAUUUGAGAGACAAUAAUGUCUGUGUCGGACUUUGCCUGUGCAACCCCAGCUCCAGUGAAGGGGCAGAGCUGUGUUUGUGACUCAGACUCCUUGGCUUCAGCUGAGAAAAGAGCUGAAGCAAUGCAUAUGGCUUCACAGCUGGAGACCACACUCCUCAGCCUCCUUACAACCAACCUGUCUUGUUUGAAUCCAUUCUCUUCAAGGGAAUGAGAACAAAAUUUACGUGUGCAGCUUCCAGCCCAUCAUCCAGUUCCCUGUCUUCUGCUAGCAGUACCCUGAUUUUGCUCUGUGGAAUCAUCCUCUUCCUGACUUUCAGCUCAUGUGCUUCUGGUAAUGAAUGGUGGCGCUUGGAUGUGGCUCCCAGCUUUCUGAAAGGAUACUCCAAAAAGAAUGUUCUAACCUCCAAAGUUGGUUUCCAUAAGGAAUUUAAAGAUUGUCCUGGGAUGAUGGACCCCACAGAAGUUAUAACAAGAAGAGGACAAGAGUGACCAUUAAGUAUGAACUUCUUUAGGAGAAUAUAACAGGUUUGGAAGAUCAAGGAAUGAAGUGGACUGGCUCUGGAACUAUCCUAAAGAGAAAUGUCAUGCCACGAGAUCCCAGGGUGUAUUCCAUGUCCUCAAUGCCGGAUAGAACAAAAAGGCACCAACGGUCGUGUUACUGCUUGUGGUGGCUCCCCUUAAAAACUCCAGGUGCUGGGAGAAUCAAACAGUUUAAUAUAUGUAAAAUGCUUAGAAACAUGCUGCCUGCCUGGAGGGAUUUAAAGCUGUUCAUCUAAGCACUCUUUUGCUGUCACCAAUGGCAUCUUUGGCACAUAUAUGCAAGAAUAGUGGAUACCUGAAAGGCAUUUGGGAAUGUGAACUCAGAGACUGUGAAAGGCAAAAACAAGGACACUGUGUACCACUUGUUGCCCAGGUUGGUCUCAAAUCUUGAUUCCUGCUCUCAAGGGAUCCUUCCACUUCAGCUUCCCAAAUCACGGGAAUUACAGGGUGAAGGUACGCUCGAGCGUGGUCAUUGAGGACAAGUCGACGAGAGAUCCCGAGUACGUCUACAGUCAGCCUUACG
ensembl:lncRNA novel transcript